rnacentral:rRNA from 1 species
UAAAUGGGAGGUAAAUUUCUUCUAAAGCUAAAUACCGGCCAGAGACCGAUAGCGCACAAGUAGAGUGAUCGAAAGAUGAAAAGCACUUUGGAAAGAGAGUUAAAAAGUACGUGAAAUUGUUGAAAGGGAAGCGCUUGCAACCAGACUUGCUCGCAGUUGCUCAACCCGCCUCCUGGUGGGUGUACUCUUCUGCGGUCAGGCCAGCAUCAGUUCGAGCGGUCGGAUAAAGGCGCCGGGAAUGUAGCUCCUCUCGGGGAGUGUUAUAGCCCGGCGUGGAAUGCGACCUGCUCGGACUGAGGAUCUCGCUUCGGCUAGGAUGCUGGCGUAAUGGUUGUAAGCGGCCCGUCUUGAAACACGGACCAAGGAGUCUAACAUCUAUGCGAGUGUUUGGGUGUCAAACCCAUGCGCGUAAUGAAAGUGAACGGAGGUGGGAACCCGCAAGGGCGCACCAUCGACCGAUCCUGAUGUCUUCGGAUGGAUUUGAGUAUGAGCAUAGCUGUUGGGACCCGAAAGAUGGUGAACUAUGCCUGAAUAGGGUGAAGUCAGAGGAAACUCUGAUGGAGGCUCGCAGCGGUUCUGACGUGCAAAUCGAUCGUCAAAUUUGGGUAUA